CCCUUAGAUGUUCUGGGCCGCACGCGCGCUACAAUGGUCUUCGCAAACGGAUGCAUUCCCGAAGGAGAAUGCCAAUCUUGGAAUCUAUGCCUUGGUCGGGACAGUUGCUUGCAAUUUUUCGACUCGAACCAGGAAUUCCUUGUAAUCGUGAUUCAUCACAUCACGAUGAAUACGUCCCUGCCCUUUGUACACACCGCCCGUCGCUCCUACCGAUCGAAGAGUUAGGUGAAUUGUUUUGAUCGAUAAGAUUUGACUAUGGUCAACUCUCGUUGUGAAAUUCUGUGAAUCUGACUGUUUAGAGGAAGGAAAAGUCGUAACA
rnacentral:rRNA from 1 species